rnacentral:rRNA from 1 species
GUACACUCCUGCGGGAGGGCAGCAGUGGGGAAUUUUGGACAAUGGGCGAAAGCCUGAUCCAGCAAUGCCGCGUGUGUGAAGAAGGCCUUCGGGUUGUAAAGCACUUUUGUCCGGAAAGAAAUCCUUGGCUCUAAUACAGUCGGGGGAUGACGGUACCGGAAGAAUAAGCACCGGCUAACUACGUGCCAGCAGCCGCGGUAAUACGUAGGGUGCGAGCGUUAAUCGGAAUUACUGGGCGUAAAGCGUGCGCAGGCGGUUUGCUAAGACCGAUGUGAAAUCCCCGGGCUCAACCUGGGAACUGCAUUGGUGACUGGCAGGCUAGAGUAUGGCAGAGGGGGGUAGAAUUCCACGUGUAGCAGUGAAAUGCGUAGAGAUGUGGAGGAAUACCGAUGGCGAAGGCAGCCCCCUGGGCCAAUACUGACGCUCAUGCACGAAAGCGUGGGGAGCAAACAGGAUUAGAAACCCUUGUAGUCCCAUGA